rnacentral:lncRNA from 1 species
CAGCCCCGCGCGGGGAGGCCAGGCCAGGCCCUGCCAAGGGCGCCAGGCGCCGCGACCCCAGCCGGACGCGCCAGGUGCGCCUCGCCCGGGAAAGGCUUUUCCGGUCCCGUGGGCAGAGGGACAGGCAGGAACUCGGGCGGGCUGUCUCCACCCCAAGUGGGGCGGGUCCCGCCCGGGAUAAGACCCGCUGCCCGGCCCCGGAGAGGGUGUGACCUCGGUGGCCGAAGAGGACGAGCGCAGCCCCGCCUGGGCACCCAGCGAUUGUUUGGCUCUUCCAAAUGUGGGCAACAUCUUGUUCCUGGAGGAACACGCCUAGAGGAGGUUCUGGAGUCUGUGCCCAGACUGCCAGUGGCCCACUCUCCACCAGGCCUGUGUUUAACAGAGGGUACCAGCUCUCUGCAGGUGCACUUUUGCGUGUGUGUGUGCUUGGGAAGGUGGUGAUAAAAACAAAACCCUAGUCCAAAAUCAUAUGUGGAUGGAAAAUAAAGCCCUGUGUGCCUGGAGUAACUAAAGCUAUGCUAAUGUAGUUUAGACAGUACCCUGGCUCUGAAACAAGGCAAGAGGAGGAGACCCUAAGGGAGGACUGCCCUUCCUGGGGAGUCGACCCUUCCUGGGACCAGGUGUUCAGGAAGUCCAAGCAGCCAAGGUGGUUAAUGUUGGCCCAGUGGCUGUGGGAGCAGCUAAUUCAAUGAAAGCAAACAUUUCUUACAGUCCUACUAUGUGCACAGCACUGUGAAGAAUGAGAACCAGGAAAGUAGGGCCC